rnacentral:misc_RNA from 1 species
GAUGAAGAACGUAGCGAAAUGCGAUAAGUAAUGUGAAUUGCAGAAUUCAGUGAAUCAUCGAAUCUUUGAACGCAUCUUGCGCUCCUUGGUAUUCCUUGGAGCAUGCCUGUUUGAGUAUCAUGAGCAAAUCUCAAAGUCAAUUCCUUUUGUUGAUUCAAUUGGUUUUGCUUUGGACUUGGAGGCCUUGCAGAUUUCACAGUCUGCUCCUCUUAAAUGCAUUAGCUGGAUCUCAGUAAUUAUGCUUGGUUCCACUCGGCGUGAUAAGUAUCACUCGCUGAGGACACUGUUAAAAAGGUGACCAGGAAAAUACUGAUUGAACCGCUUCUAACGGUCUAUUAAGUUAGACAACUACCCUUAAGUUUGAUCUCAAAUCAGGUAGGACUACCCGCUGAACUUAAGCAUAUCAAUAAGCGGAGGA